UCCGCAUAAAACUGGAAAUCCAUCCCAGAAGAAGAAAAGAGAAUGAAAAGACAAAGCAAGGUUUAAACAUUUCCAUCCAAAUGCAGCAGCUCAUCAACCAACAUACACAUCAUCAAUUUUCUUCCACCUUAAACAUCCAACUCAACUAAACUGACUUAAAAUCAAAAGUACAAACUGCAAAUAAUCAUUCUCAUUAUCUAUAUUAAAAAUGUGAAACCUACAAAUUUAUGUACACAAGUAGAUAGAGAGCGAGAGAGAGGACCCUGAAAAGUAGGAUUGUUGAAGGAGAAGUUAUCCAAAGGGAAAGACUAAUCAAUUUUGGCAAGCGACGACCCUUCAUACAAAUUAGAAGAUAUCCUUGUGCCUUUUCUUCUUCUUCUUCUUCUCCUAAACUUCUUCUUCUUUGAGGCUCCCAAUUUACAACUAUUCGGCCUUGACAUGCAUCCCCCCAUCUUUUUCCCUUCUUAAUUACAGCAAUUUUGUAUCACUACUUGUGAUAACUAGUAAUCUUUGUCCAUUCCCUCGUCACAGUAUCUAAUGGUGGAUCAUAAUAACAGAUAAAGUAAAUGAUUCAAAAGAUGGAAUCGACAACAACCAGAAGAAAUAUCUGAUAUCUUUUUAGAGAGAGGAAGCGUGAAGAGGUGGACAACCCACCCAUUAACUACCCCCUGUGUUCCUCUCUUCUUUAUGUGUAGUCGUAGACUAAUAGUAUAUUCUUGGAAUUAUUUUACGUGAUUUUCAGAGCUACUCCGCG
rnacentral:lncRNA from 1 species